GAUGAACGCUGGCGGCGUGCCUAAUACAUGCAAGUCGAGCGAAUGGGUUAAGAGCUUGCUCUUAUGAAGUUAGCGGCGGACGGGUGAGUAACACGUGGGUAACCUGCCCAUAAGACUGGGAUAACUCCGGGAAACCGGGGCUAAUACCGGAUAACAUUUUGAACCGCAUGGUUCGAAAUUGAAAGGCGGCUUCGGCUGUCACUUAUGGAUGGACCCGCGGCGCAUUAGCUAGUUGGUGAGGUAACGGCUCACCAAGGCAACGAUGCGUAGCCGACCUGAGAGGGUGAUCGGCCACACUGGGACUGAGACACGGCCCAGACUCCUACGGGAGGCAGCAGUAGGGAAUCUUCCGCAAUGGACGAAAGUCUGACGGAGCAACGCCGCGUGAGUGAUGAAGGCUUUCGGGUCGUAAAACUCUGUUGUUAGGGAAGAACAAGUGCUAGUUGAAUAAGCUGGCACCUUGACGGUACCUAACCAGAAAGCCACGGCUAACUACGUGCCAGCAGCCGCCGUAA
rnacentral:rRNA from 1 species